rnacentral:rRNA from 1 species
GAUAAACGCUGACCGAAUGCUUAACACAUGCAAGUCGAUGAUGGGAGCUAGCUUGCUAGCCGAAGUCAUGGCGGACGGGUGAGUAACGUGUAAAGAACUUACCAUAUAGACUGGGAUAACAGAGGGAAACUUCUGAUAAUACUGGAUAAGUUAGUAGUAGCAUUACUAAGUAAUGAAAGGUAGCAAUACGCUAUAUGAGAGCUUUGCAUCCUAUUAGCUAGUUGGUGGGGUAAAAGCCUACCAAGGCGAUGAUAGGUAGCCGGCCUGAGAGGGUGGACAGCCACAAGGGGACUGAGAGACGGCCCUGACGCCUACGGGAGGCAGCAGUGAGGAAUAUUGGACAAUGGAGGCAACUCUGAUCCAGCAAUUCUGUGUGUGGGAAGAAGGUUUUAGGACUGUAAAACACUUUUAGUAGGGAAGCAAGAUAUGACGGUACCUACAGAAGAAGCGACGGCUAAAUACGUG